rnacentral:rRNA from 1 species
UACGGGGGGAGCAAGCGUUGUUCGGAUUUACUGGGCGUAAAGGGCGCGUAGGCGGCCAGCACAAGUCAGUUGUGAAGUCUCCGAGCUUAACUCGGAAAGGUCAACUGAUACUGUGCGGCUAGAGUGCGGAAGGGGCAACUGGAAUUCUUGGUGUAGCGGUGAAAUGCGUAGAUAUCAGGAGGAACACCGAUGGCGAAGGCAGGUCUCUGGGCUGACACUGACGCUCAUGCACGAAAGCGUGGGGAGCAAACAGG